rnacentral:rRNA from 1 species
CAGCCGCCGCGGUAAUACAGAGGAUGCAAGCGUUAUCCGGAAUGAUUGGGCGUAAAGCGCGCGCAGGCGGAUAGGUCAGUCUGUCUUAAAAGUUCGGGGCUUAACCCCGCGAUGGGAUGGAAACUGCCAAUCUAGAGUAUCGGAGAGGAAAGUGGAAUUCCUAGUGUAGCGGUGAAAUGCGUAGAUAUUAAGAAGAACACCAGUGGCGAAGGCGACUUUCUGGACGAAAACUGACGCUGAGGCGCGAAAGCCAGGGGAGCGAACGGGAUUAGAGACCCCAGUAGUCCCUGUCUCUUAUACA